CCUACGGGAGGCAGCAGUGGGGAAUAUUGGGCAAUGGGCGCAAGCCUGACCCAGCAACGCCGCGUGAAGGAAGAAGGCUUUCGGGUUGUAAACUUCUUUUCUCAGGGACGAAGCAAGUGACGGUACCUGAGGAAUAAGCCACGGCUAACUACGUGCCAGCAGCCGCGGUAAUACGUGGGUGGCAAGCGUUAACCGGAUUUACUGGGUGUAAAGGGCGUGUAGGCGGGACGGCAAGUCAGAUGUGAAAACCACGGGCUCAACCUGUGGCCUGCAUUUGAAACUGUAGUUCUUGAGUACUGGAGAGGCAGACGGAAGUCCUAGUGUAGCGGUGAAAUGCGUAGAUAUUAGGAGGAACACCAGAGGCGAAGGCGGUCUGCUGGGCAGCGACUGACGCUGAGGCGCGAAAGCGUGGGGAGCAAACAGGAUUAGAUACUCGGGUAGUC
rnacentral:rRNA from 1 species